UGAGGAAUAUUGGUCAAUGGACGAGAGUCUGAACCAGCCAAGUAGCGUGAAGGAUGACUGCCCUAUGGGUUGUAAACUUCUUUUAUAUGGGAAUAAAACAGGGUAUGCAUACCCUCUUGUAUGUACCAUAUGAAUAAGGAUCGGCUAACUCCGUGCCAGCAGCCGCGGUAAUACGGAGGAUCCGAGCGUUAUCCGGAUUUAUUGGGUUUAAAGGGAGCGUAGAUGGGUUGUUAAGUCAGUUGUGAAAGUUUGCGGCUCAACCGUAAAAUUGCAAUUGAUACUGGCAAUCUUGAGUACAGUUGAGGUAGGCGGAAUUCGUGGUGUAGCGGUGAAAUGCUUAGAUAUCACGAAGAACUCCGAUUGCGAAGGCAGUUCACUGGACUGCAACUGACACUGAGGCUCGAAAGUGUGGGUAUCAAACAGG
rnacentral:rRNA from 1 species